rnacentral:sRNA from 1 species
UCCUAGCCCUGAUAGCAGUGAAAAUCCUUUUUUGAGGUUUUUUAACCGAAAAAAAGAUUGUAAUCUCGUCUUUCAGGAAGAGAG